UUGUAAGUAAUGAAGAGCGUACGGUGGAUGCCUUGGCACCAGGAGCCGAUGAAGGACGUAGGAGGCUGCGAUAAGCCUCGGGGAGCUGUCAACCGAGCUGAGAUCCGAGGGUGUCCGAAUGGGGAAACCCAGCACGAGUGAUGUCGUGUUACCUGCACCUGAAUAUAUAGGGUGUGUGGAGGGAACGUGGGGAAGUGAAACAUCUCAGUACCCACAGGAAGAGAAAACAACAGUGAUUCCGUCAGUAGUGGCGAGCGAACGCGGAAGAGGCCAAACCAUGUGCAUGUGAUACCCGGCAGGGGUUGUGCGUGUGGGGUUGUGGGGUUUGUUUUUGUCGAUUCUGCCGGAUCGGCCGACAGUAAGAAAUCAUGUGGUUAGUCGAAGUGGUCUGGGAUGGCCUGUCGUAGAGGGUGAGAAUCCCGUAGACGAAAACUGUGUGACUGUCGAAGUGAAUGCCCAAGUAGCAGCGGGCCCGUGAAAUCUGCUGUGAAUCUGUCGGGACCACCCGAUAAGCCUGAAUACUCCCUGGUGACCGAUAGCGGACUAGUACCGUGAGGGAAAGGUGAAAAGUACCCCGGGAGGGGAGUGAAAUAGUACCUGAAACCGUGCGCUUACAAUCCGUCAGAGCCUGUGCACACUUCGGUGUGGUGGGUGAUGGCGUGCCUUUUGAAGAAUGAGCCUGCGAGUUAGUGGUAUGUGGCGAGGUUAACCCGUGUGGGGUAGCCGUAGCGAAAGCGAGUCCGAAUAGGGCGUUCCAGUCGCAUGCUCUAGACCCGAAGCGGAGUGAUCUACCCAUGGCCAGGGUGAAGCGACGGUAAGACGUCGUGGAGGCCCGAACCCACUUAGGUUGAAAACUGAGGGGAUGAGUUGUGGGUAGGGGUGAAAGGCCAAUCAAACUCCGUGAUAGCUGGUUCUCCCCGAAAUGCAUUUAGGUGCAGCGUCGCGUGUUUCAUCCUGGAGGUAGAGCUACUGGAUGGUCUAGAGGGCCCACAAGCUUAUCGAAAUCAGCCAAACUCCGAAUGCCAGGAUGUGAGAGCGCGGCAGUGAGACUGCGGGCGAUAAGGUUCGUAGUCGAGAGGGAAACAGCCCAGAUCGCCGGCUAAGGCCCCUAAGCGUGUACUAAGUGGAAAAGGAUGUGAAGUCGCGAAGACAACCAGGAGGUUGGCUUAGAAGCAGCCACCCUUGAAAGAGUGCGUAAUAGCUCACUGGUCAAGUGAUUUUGCGCCGACAAUGUAGCGGGGCUCAAGUACACCGCCGAAGCCGCGGCAUUCGCACAAUAGCCCGCGCACAUCCUACGGGGUGUGUGCCAGGUGUGUGGAUGGGUAGGGGAGCGUCGUGUGGCCAGGGAAGCGCCGGAGUGAUCCAGGUGUGGAGGCCACGCGAGUGAGAAUGCAGGCAUGAGUAGCGAAAGACGAGUGAGAAACUCGUCCGCCGAAUGAUCAAGGGUUCCUGGGCCAGGUUAAUCCGCCCAGGGUGAGUCGGGACCUAAGGCGAGGCCGACAGGCGUAGUCGAUGGACAACGGGUUGAUAUUCCCGUACCCGUGUAUCCGCGCCCAUGAUGAAUCAGGAGUACUAACCGUCCAGAGCCACCAGGAGCACCUUCGGGUGCCGGGUGUGGUGAUGCACGGGACCUUUCCUGGUAGUAGUCAAGCGAUGGGGUGACGCAGGAAGGUAGCUGAGCCAGUCAGUGGUAACACUGGUGUAAGCCUGUAGGGCGAGACCUAGGCAAAUCCGGGUCUCACACAGCCUGAGAGGUGAUGCAUAGCCGAAUGAGGCGAAUUCAGUGAUCCUAUGCUGCCGAGAAAAGCCUCUAGCGAGCUGGUACACGGCCCGUACCCCAAACCGACACAGGUGAUCAGGUAGAGAAUACCAAGGCGAUCGAGAUAACUAUGGUUAAGGAACUCGGCAAAAUGCCCCCGUAACUUCGGGAGAAGGGGGACCCCUGCUGGUGAU
rfam:Rhodococcus sp. MEB064 contig_56, whole genome shotgun sequence.